rnacentral:lncRNA from 1 species
AAAAAUACAGCUAAUUCACUUAAAGCGUACAAACAUAGUGCCUAUUGGUCUUGAUUAUAACUCAACCCAAUCCAGCCUUCUACCACUUCAAAUGUCACACCCAUAUCAAAUGUGACUCAGCCCGCCUAAUUUAGCCUCCUACUAUUUCGAACGUGACUCAACCUAACUCAACCUCCCAUCACGAGGCAAGAUGCUCACCAUAUUAAGCUAAUAGCUCCUUUACCUACAUUUUUUUUUACCUAUAUAU